UACGGAAGGGGGCUAGCGUUGCUCGGAAUCACUGGGCGUAAAGGGUGCGUAGGCGGGUCUUUUAAGUCAGGGGUGAAAUCCUGGAGCUCAACUCCAGAACUGCCUUCGAUACUGAGAGUCUCGAGUCCGAGAGAGGUGAGUGGAAUUCCUAGUGUAGAGGUGAAAUUCGUAGAUAUUUAGGAAGAACACCAGUGGCGAAGGCGGCUACACUGGCCCGGUACCUUGACGGCUCAUGUGCGGAAAAGCGUGGG
rnacentral:rRNA from 1 species